GAAUUUUGAAUGAUAGUAACUACAAGUUUUUUAUAUCUGUGGCAAACUUUAUAUGUUACCAGUAGGUUUAGGGCAGUCUUUAAGAAAAAUAGAACAAAGAAUGUAAAUUAAUUUGAUCACUAUACUUUGGUUAAUAUGGAUCUGUGAUUCAUGUUUUAGCCUUUGAAACUGAAAUUACCUGCUGAAAUGCAUGUAAAAGUGAACAACCAUCUCCCCACUAUUGCUCUUAGCUUUUUCUAUACAUAAUAUAAAAUUAUUGGAUUAAUUUGUAAGGAUGUAGAAUUGUGAAGGCCAGGAUUCUAACUUUUUUAAAUUUUGAUCUCAAGAAAUUCCCUCAAAUAGUACUGUGAUUAAAUAGGUUUGGUUCUAAAGUCAGUCAGCAUGUCUCAAAGGUCUCUAUCAGUGGUGGCAAACCUAUGGCAUGGGUGCCAAAGUGGACUGCUUAUAUCAUUGAAAGCUCUAACAGAUUCACCAUCACUGGUCUAUGUUCUUAAGCAGCGCCAUCUUAGCAGAAAUGAUAUGUAAAUUUUACAUUUUCUAGUAAAUUUUAUAUUAACUAGUAAAUGUAUUAAAAAAGUAACAAGCAGGUGAAGAUUGUUUUUAUUAUAUAUUUUAAUUCAACGUAUCCAGUAUGUUAUUUAAACUUGUAAUCAACACAAAAAAUUAUUUGGGAGGUAUUUUACCUUUGUUUUUAAACCUUAGUCUUCAAAACUAGUUUAUAUUUUACAUUUACAGUAUAUCUCAAUUUGGACUGGUCACAUUUGAAAUGCUCAGCCACGUACAAGUAAUGGCUGCUGUUUUGGAUAGUGCAUUUCUAGAACUGCCUCUUAAAAGUGAAGGCCAUCCUGUGUUCAUAAAAACUUUCUGAAUGUGGACUUUUUAAAAUUAAAAAAAAGGGCCGGGGAUCUAGCUUGCAAGUGGAAGGACCCGAGUUCGAUCCCCGGUACCAAAAAAAAAAAAAGUAAAAUUAACAAAAAAAUGGGAGCCUGAUUUUGUAAAUAAGGGAUAAGAAAUUGGGUUAGUUUAUUUUAUAUAAAUAAGGUAUUUCCAACAAUUCCAAAAAUGUCUUAUAUUGGCCUCCUAUCAUUUCGUGCAUAUAUAUAAUUUUUCCAGUGACACUGAUAAAAAGUUGCCUGAGAUACAUCCUGACAGUUUCUGACAAUCUCCAAAAUACAUUUCCUUCACUAACAAAGUAGAUGAUUCCAAUGACUUCUAAAAUGCUAGCUGAACUUUGGCCCAUUUUAAAGGCUUAAAAACAAACCCUAAUGACCUCUGAUGCACUGACAAUUUGCUUUGGGGCUUAAUAAAGAUCACCACAUCUAGAACCAUCACCACAUUCUCCCAAAGAUUGCCUUUCCACUAGAGACUUUCAGAACUAAAGACAAAAAGUUUCAUACUCAAUACCCAAAUACGAAAUAUUAGUGGACUUACCAUGUAAGCUAACAUGGUCGUUCCUUGCUCAGCUACUCUAAAAUAUGUGGGAAGGAAGGUGGGCUCUUAAUUUGGAUGAAGUCUGCUAUUGCUAGUAAUACACAUGGUAAUGGAAAGCCCAUGAGACAGUUUCAAUUAUUUGCCAAAUAUUAGACUCUUUAAAAUUUCCUGAGUUAUUUUUACCUAUGUGUUUUACAUACCGGUUGAUGAAAGACCGGUCCUAUAAGCAGAAUGAUGGCAGCUUGAUGAAAAGGUUUUUCUUUUUCCAGUAGUAUUCCUUGUCUUCAAAAAGUAGUCCAGUACAUUUUGCCUUGAUUUUUAAGGUUGCAUUCUUGGGAGGAAAGCUUAGCCCAGCCAUAAUUUCUAAAUGUCUUUUUUAUAACCACUCUGAUUGUUACAAGCAAUUAUUAUUCAUAUUUUGGCUAGUUCUUUUUUUCUGUUAAGCACUUUAUGCUUUUUAGUACAUUGUAUUUGAGAAUGUAAUUUAGAAAUUCUUCUGAGCCAUGUAAAAGCUGAUAAAGGAUAAUGAAAAUCAGUGUCCAGUUAUUUUUCAUUUAACUUAUUUUGUGGUGUAUGUAAACAAAAUAGAAAUAUAUUACCUUUUUGUAAUAAUACUGCUUGACUUUAUUUAAGAUGAAUGCCAAGAAGUGUCAGUGAUGUCUUAAUUUCUGACCAAAUUUAUAUUUAUUCUAACACUGAAGAAAUUAAGCCAACUUUUUUUCUAUCAUCAGAUAACCUUAGAAAAUCAUGUACUUUAUAUUACUGCUUAUUUUCAAUAUUUAAGAGAGUAAUUGUCUCAAAUUUUCUACUGUUCCUACUAAUCAGUUAAGACCCCCCAAAGUGCAUUUUUUUCAAGUAUUUUAGUAGCCCAUUCAAAGUAAUGGUGAGGUAAAAAGUAAAUUAAAUUGUUCUACCUUUCUGACACAUCUUUUGAGUGAUUUCUAUUUCCAAAAAAUUCAGAUGUUUUCUCAAAGCAGCCCCUGUUGCAUGCUUUAUAUUAUCUAUAUGUAUUCAUUGGAUGUGGGCUUAUGAUUUGGUAUUGUUUUACAAAUAGUGCUAAUCACUAGUCUAAUUUCAUUUGUUUGUAAAAUGUGUGAGAAUUGGAUUAUUAUAAUGGGAAGUCAGGAUCUUGAGAAAGACAGUUGCUCAAUUCUUGGCAAUCUUUGGGGUGGCUAAAACUAUUUUCAAAUAUUUAGUCAUGUUUUAGAGUUAAUUUUUAGUGCUUAUUUUUAUAAUUACUAUAUAAUUUUUAUUAAGUACUAGAUUUUGGAUUCUCAUCAAACUGCUAAAAUAGGAUUUGUUAGUCUCAUGUUAUUGCCUCUGUAGUAGCGAAGUAGAUAACACCUUUAUGAAGGGGUUAAAUAUGUAUAAAUGGGUGUUUGGGAUUUGGGGGAUUUUUACCGCUAACUUCAAAAUUAUAUGGAGAUUACUGUAACUUUCAUUGUAUGAAAAGAUAUCCCAUUAAAUUCAUAGAUGCUAGAAUAUUAGAUAUAUUUAGAGAUUUUUUUUGGUAGCCCCUUUUAGCUAUUUUGUUUUUUUUACUUCUAAUCAUUGAAAUUUAAUUACAUAUAAAUCAGUUGAAAUAGAUUACUUACUGACAUUAAACAUUUUGAAAACCUAAAGUACUUUUUCCUUAGAUUAAGAACAGUCAUACAUAAGUCUGAUAUUCAUACUUUACUGCAUAUCUAAAAUAUAGUAAUGAGCUGAUACUGGAAUUUCAGGUACUAAACUUAGCUUUGUGUCUGAGGGAAGAUUGGUUUUAUGAAAAUCUAAAACUAUUCUAGCUCCUUUUAUGGUCAAAAAAUUAUUUUUCCUUUUGAUUUUCUGUCUUUUGCUACAACUGCCACUAAUUUUUUCUUUAAAAGAACUCAUGAGGAAUGUAAAACCAUGAAUGAGGAUGAAAAUAAAUGUGUGUAAAUAUGUGUAAAUAUGCAACUAAUUCAAUUUUAGAAUAUUUUUGUGCUAUAUUGUUUUGUAUACAUAUUGUUUAUGUAUACUUUAUAAAUAGCAAAGUAUACAUAAAUGUUAAAUGGUUUGUGAUUAUUUUAACUUUGCAUCCUGUAUCUGAAUUUCAUCUGGAUAUCAUACCAGUUCGGUCAGUAGUUAUUACAAGUAUUAAGCAAUUUUGAAAAUUGCCACUUGUUUCUUAGUGAACUGUCUUUAGUUUUCAGCAUUUAGAAAGAAAACAUACCUGUAUAAACCUAACACCAAUAUUCUAGUCUCCAUGCUCCAAGUAUAUAAUUAGUGGUAUUAGGAGAGAAAUGAUGUUAAGGUGGUUUUUAUCAUUUUAUACAUUGAUCGUUCAUUUACCCUUUAUUUGAACUGCAGUGAAACUGACAUUUUAACUGAAAUUGAAUGAAUUCUGCCCAGUUACUGACCAAAUCAUGUCUAGAGGAUGUUUUUUAUGUUCCAGUCUAGGAAAUCUUUUAAAUUGGGGGUUAAUUUUUCAUAUGCUGUUUCCAUUUGUUUUCUUACUGUGUCUGUUGCAUUGUUCUUGUCACAUCUAAGCUUUAUCAUGUCUGAAUUUUUCUAACAUUAAAUCUGUGAUGUAAAAAAAUGUAUGAUGUGCUACAAAUUUCAUGCAUAAUAAACUUAAGUUAUAGCCUAUGUAACCUGUAAAAUAUUUUUUGUAAAUUACCUAAUUUAUUUUUCCAUUUCUGUACAGUUUCUUAUGUAAAUUUUUAACACAUUAGUUGUGGCCUAUUCUGUAAACAUUCCCAUACUAUUUUCUUUAGUGCUUAUUUGCAUGAAAGAAACUUGGGUUUUGCUUGUUUGUAUUAUAUAGCCAUUACGCCAAUUUUAAUAUCUGCCUUUUCUGUAGUUUAACUUUUUCUAAUUUUCUUAAUGUUUUAAAUGUUAAAAUCAUGCUUUU
ensembl:lncRNA